CUGUUCAUUGUUUGUAUGUUUUGUCUAGUUUCAUGUCUCCCCAUUUCUUCUGGAAUACUCUCUCGUUUAGAUUUUUUGACUUUGUUUUCACCUGCACUGUAAGUUUCACUGUUGUUGAGCAAUAAACACAAUACUCACCAGUACCACCUCUUUGUCUACAUUUGGGUCCAAAACCUCUGUCUCCUACGUUCAGCCAGCAGGGCUGACACUUUAACUUUGAUUGUUGCACAUUUAGUCAUGGGUAUUUAAGGUUACAGAGAAAUACCAAAAUUUCAGGGGCCUCAACUACUUUAGAUGCCGCGUUUGCAAAAUGUGGCACUUACUACAGAUCCCCCGAGCAAACAGGUUUAGUGGCCGGCCAUUCAUAAACUAAGAGAUAUAUUUAUAAUUUUUUAUUUUUUUUAUACUUUUGAAUGUAACACGAGUACAGAGGGAGAGAAGGAGAGCUUAUUAAAUUGAUUCCUUGGGGUCCGUUUUCCUGUUUAAAUGAACAAGUUACAUUUUCUUGAUUUCUUUUUUAUACGUUGGUUGUGUUUUGACGUGUGUACAAUUGUACUGAUGUUUAACAAAAACUUUAAGCUGUGUUUUGAGAUAAAAUAUUGAUCAUUACACGCUGGUAGAAUUGUUGCCCCCGUUUUUCUACAAAGUCAAUCUACCUGCAGAUGAUUGACUGUUGCUUUGCCAGAUGUCUGGCUUGAAACUUACAGUAAGAAAUAAGAUUAAUUAGAGUGCUGUGUGGUGGUGUUUGAUUAAUUGUAACAUUGAUCACAGAACAUGUGGAGGGAGAGACAGAGUGAAGCUUGAUUGAUGAGUCAAUGUGAUACCAGCUCAAGAUAUUCUCUCUUAAAGUCUGAAGCUCACCAGCUGCUUUUUUCUUUUGUGCCUUAAGUACACAAACACAAUGUGUGUUCAGCGUCCUUUUGUACCUCACUGUUUUCUUGAAAUACAAGAAUAACAGGGUUUCAAAUAGCGUAGCACCCACUUGGUUCACAUGGGGCUAUCUUCUUCAUGGAAGUUACACCUGGAGCAUGAGACAAUCACAGUGGUUGCUAGGUAACGGAUCUCCUCAUGGUCUCAGCUGUGAGCUUCCAGAGAACCAAGCUUUGCUCAGUGAAUCACUCGCUACACUUGAAACAUGAGUGAGUAUGACGAUGAGUGGACCAUAUACAGUAGAAAUCCGGUAUGUGUGUUCUUGGGCCUUUAAAGUUACAUUUCAAUAAUCAAAGGAUGUAGUCCCUUUUUUCAGAAGAAGUUUAUGUAAUAAAAGAAAUGGCUAAAUUCUGGUAUUGUGCAUGAUGGCUCACUGGCACCCUUGAAUUGAGCAGUCAUCGUUAAUGCAACUGUUAACACCUGUUUUUUCCCCUGCUUUGAUAAGUCAAAUUAUCUGCUGUGAAAAAGACCUACUGCAGGAAAUCUGCCAAUGUGAGGACAUUUGGCGAAAUCUUACCUCUAUAAUAGGCUACUCAUAUCACCUUAAUAUAAGAACUACGUUAGCAAACCGUUGGCUAUUUCUACAUCCAGCAGGCAUGGAGUCUCUGUAGUGAAGCCAUGUUUGGCAUCACCUGGAAAUUCCUCGACAUCGUCCUGGAUCCAUUUUCUUCAGAUACAUUUGUCAUCCUGAUUUUUUUCAUAUUUUAAUUUCACUAUUAAUGUAAUUUCAGUCUAUUCUAUAUGAGCAGCUUAUGUUUCUGUAUGCCUCUUUAUUUUCCCAAUUAAAGGGAUUUUUUCUUUACCACAUUAGAGGGUAUACGGACAGAGGGUGUUAUAUGCUAUUUAGAUUGUUAACACCUUUGAAACAUAUUUGGGGUUGAUGAAUGAAAUUGAGUUGAGUAAAGCGAGGAAAUAUAUUACUUUGUAAUUUGGGAGAAGUGACCCUUUAAGUAUUUACCCAUGAGGCCCUAAACUGUAAAUUAUUCUUUACAUGUGAUGUCUAAUAAAUAUUUCUUGCCAGUUGCACAGUAGUCGGGGUUUAAAUGAGGCACAUAAGGUGAUCUGGAGGACUACUGCUGAUUUAUCUUGGACUGGGACACUGUUGUGGUGCUACAGUUUGGCACAGCUGCUCUCAUAAAAUGUUUUGAUACCCCCAA